rnacentral:lncRNA from 1 species
CUCAGAGCUGCUGCGGGACGCGGCGGGGACGGUGAGAUGAGUGUUUCGAGUCAAGGAGGAUUUUGAGGAAGAUUAAUGAUGAUGUACCCCUUACUAGUGCUGCUCUUCAAACCUUUGUCACCUGGGCCAAUCCAUGAAC